rnacentral:rRNA from 1 species
UACGGAGGGAGCUAGCGUUGUUCGGAAUUACUGGGCGUAAAGCGUACGUAGGCGGCCGAUCAAGUCAGAGGUGAAAGCCCAGGGCUCAACCUUGGAAUUGCCUUUGAAACUAGUUGGCUUGAAGAUGGGAGAGGUGAGUGGAAUUCCGAGUGUAGAGGUGAAAUUCGUAGAUAUUCGGAAGAACACCAGUGGCGAAGGCGGCUCACUGGACCAUUCUUGACGCUGAGGUACGAAAGCGUGGGGAGCAAACAGGAUUAGAUACCCUGGUAGUCCACGCCGUAAACGAUGAGAACUAGCUGUCGGGGCUCUUGGAGUUUCGGUGGCGCAGCUAACGCAUUAAGUUCUCCGCCUGGGGAGUACGGCCGCAAGGUUAAA